AGUGAACGCUGGCGGUAGGCCUAACACAUGCAAGUCGAACGGCAGCACAGUAAGAGCUUGCUCUUACGGGUGGCGAGUGGCGGACGGGUGAGGAAUACAUCGGAAUCUACUUUUUCGGGGGGGAUAACGUAGGGAAACUUACGCUAAUACAGCAUACGACCUACGGGUGAAAGCAGGGGAUCUUCGGACCUUGCGCGAUUGAAUGAGCCGAUGUCGGAUUAGCUAGUUGGCGGGGUAAAGGCCCACCAAGGCGACGAUCCGUAGCUGGUCUGAGAGGAUGAUCGGCCACACUGGAACUGAGACACGGUCCAGACUCCUACGGGAGGCAGCAGUGGGGAAUAUUGGACAAUGGGCGCAAGCCUGAUCCAGCCAUACCGCGUGGGUGAAGAAGGCCUUCGGGUUGUAAAGCCCUUUUGUUGGGAAAGAAAAGCAGCAGGUUAAUACCCCGCUGUUCUGACGGUACCCAAAGAAUAAGCACCGGCUAACUUCGUG
rnacentral:rRNA from 1 species